CACAGAGUGUCAGCAGCUACGUCAUUCUCAUACACUCCAUUUGUACGACGUUUCCUUCUGAAAUGUCAUGGGGUAGAAAGUGGCAUGAAAAGAAAAGUAAAGUUUCACGUCUUGCUGCAAAUUAAAGAUCACACUUCAAAAACAAAAACAAAAGAAUCACAAGGGUCCCUCCAUCCUCGUCCUGCCUCUUCUCCUCUGCGGCUCGUCCUGGACCACCCUGAGGCCCGACUGCCAGUCCAGACGCCCAGCAGAGAGGACGGGAGGAACCGGAACACGCAGAACCUGGACAGUCUUGUUUGCUGUGAUUGGUUCAUUCUGUGCCAGCUAGCUCUGAUUGGUUGCUUGAUUCCAACUGGUUUUUAGCAGUUGAGGAUGGAUGAAGCAACCGCGUAAAGUCGUGGGGUGAACUUUGUGUCCAUCACAGCUGGAUUUCUGAAGUGAGGCCUGAGCAGAGCCAACAUGAGGCCUGCACUCCUCCCCACUAAAUUAAAGCAAAGAAAGGAAACGUCUCUGAUUACGACUUCUUGAUGUAGUAACUAAUCGUCUUUGUCAGCUCUA